GGCGUUCCUAAAUUUAUGGCCAAUUGUUAUGUUGAGACUCCACAUUUUCCCAAUUUGAGAGACGUAAAAGUCGGUGUUAGUAUGAGCUCGAUGGAGGCUGUAGAUGGCAUAUUACAAGAAUGCUGCCACUCACUAAAUGAGUUAACUCUGGUGGGGAUGGAAAGUUGUGAAUGCCUGCCGGAAUCAAUUCAACUUCUCACUGCUCUUCCUGAGCUAGAGUUAAAGAAUUUUGGAAUGGAAGAGUUACCUGAAUGGUUUGGGAACCUCUCAUCUCUAGAGACAUUGAGGUUAGAGAACUGCAAAAGGCUAAGGCGUCUACCCUCUAUGGAUGCAAUGCGGCGCCUCACAACAUUAAAACGAUUAGUUAUUGCGGAUUGUCCGGAAUUAGUGAUUAAAAGUGAGGCAGCUGAUUCUGAAUGGCCCAAGGUUUCCCAUAUCCCCAACAUCUACAUUAAUGGCGACAAAUACAACUACAUUGCCUGUGUCGGUAAGUAUCAAAUAUAUGUGUUUGUUUGUUUUAAUAGAAACAAUUAGUAUAUGUGUUUUAUUUGAAAAAAAAAUUCUAGUUAUCAUAAAUUGAGAUUACAGAGUUUCUAACUCGAUUGCUGUUAAUUUGGUGCUCCACUUCAUCUCAAUAUGCUUAAAGAUAUAGGAGAUUAAUUAUUUUGAGUUUGUUUACUAACAUUUUUACAGCCAGUCUCCUCAAUUUACCUUUUCCCAUUAAUUCUUUUUUUGUGUAGAUACAGAAAGUGGUACGAAGAAACAGUUGUGUUUGGGGUGCCUCUAAAGAAUUGGGAUGUGAAGCAAGGGAUCAAUGAAGAAUGAAUGAGUGAGUAUCCAUUUUCUCCAUCAUUGACUUGCUCAACAUAACUUUCGUCUUCUAUUAAAAAAUCCUCAACUUUCAACAUUUUCUAUAAAAAAAGUUUGUUAUACAAAUUGACGACGAACGGUGAGUUAUUUCACCAAAUUAUUACACGGAACAACAUCAUUUUAUUAGGUGAGGUGAGAAAAACUUCAUCCAUGCAAGAAUUCAACGAGGUGGAUAGCGGGUCAUUUUAUUGAAAAUACUAAAAGUUGAGGUUUUUUAUUUUUGUUUUUGUUCAAAGAUAUUGAAAUUUGAGAAUACAAAACAUGAUUAAUUAUUUUUAUUUUAGUUGAUAGAAUACAAAAGUUGUUGAUGACAUUGGUUUCUUUGAUGAUUUUAAGGUGGUUUACCUGUCUGGGCUUACAUGCACAGCAUGUUGCUUCUGCUGAGGGAGUUUCUCUGAUAGCCACACACACUUCUCCUAGUGAGCCCUUUUUGUUUUGGAUUGAAUUCUACUAUAUAUUAAUGUUUGCUAUAUUUCACUUUGUGUGAGUAUUGUUCUCAAGAAUUGUGGCAGAACGCUUUUUUGCUUUGUUUAAUGUUUAGAAGGUAUUCUCAGACACCAUAAAUGAACUCGUUUGAAAGAUUCUUACAUGCUCCUUCAUCCUCGAGAGUUUCAAGUAUCUGAGUUUUCAAUUAUAGUUGAUGGCAGUUGAGAUUCUUUUGUCGAUUAUGUGUUCAUAAAUUUAUUGCAUCUUUGGUUUUCUUAAUGACUAUGCAUUGAAGGUGAUUUGAAUUUGGCACCAACUUGGAUUGAAGAUUUCUAUGUAGUGUAAUGCAUUAUGACGAGAACGACUAAUUGCAUAAUGAUGCUAAUUUUUGAAUGUGAUGUAAAUUUGGUUUAGGGAUUUGAUUUUUAAUAUGUAAUAGAGUGUUUACUUUGAAGGAUUAGCAUUGAUAGAUAAAAAUAGUAAGGUUAAUCUGUUAUUUACGUUAAUGGAUUGUAACUUUAAGAUAUUCCAAAGCAUUUGAAUAUUUUUACCAUUUAAAACUAGUUUUGCUUGAUUCUUAUAUCAUUGAAAGGUAAACGCCCCCUAAUUGUCUUGUAGAUGCAACGCUCGUCUGCACCCUCAUGUCGUCAACUGCCGCGAGAAGAAGUGUGGACACAGCAAUCAGUUGGGGCCGAAGAAGAAGACAACAAGUAGACUGCUGGAUUGAUCGCUUAUCUUGUUGCCAUUUUGUCCCCUCUACUUUAGUUAUUGCCAAUGAAAACUAAAUAGUGUUUCUGUUUUCUCUGUUAGACAUUGAAGCUUAAUGACACAUUUGCAGUUUUAUAUUGUUGAAAUGAAUUGGUUUUUCCUACCUUUUAUUGUUAUUGAUGUUAAAGAUUUAGUUAGUGUUUAUUUUUGGAUUAUCCUGCGAACCUCGAACACUUUUCUUAUAUGGCAAAAAAUAUCAUUUAUUUAUAUUUUCAUUUUUUCACCUACCAUAUUUAACAUACAAAAUACUUGCUUCUUAAAAUCUGUGCCAAUGUUGGGGCACUUGCCCAAUCUCAAGUCCCUUUUGUUGUGUGGAUUGAGAAAUUUGAAGUGUAUAAAUUCUUCAUUCUACGGAAUGGUGAACAAGGACACACGCAUUGUUUUUCCAGCUCUCGAAAAUCUCGAAUUGUGGUUUAUUCAAAAUCUGACAGAGUGGGCAAAACUUGAAGUUUCGGGUGCAGGUGAAGUGAAGCUAUUUCCUCGCCUCCAACAUCUCGGAAUUUCGGGGUGCUUGCAAUUGAUGAGUGUUCCAAGUCAUGUCUCGUCAUGCCUUCAACAUUUGAAAAUUGAGGGAAUUGGUGUGGAAUGUCUCCCAGUUGAUUGGUUAUUCAGUAACAACCAGACUCUCUCUGAAUUGUAUAUAAGGGAGUGCCCCAAUUUGAGAGAAUUACGGGACAGAGAUAGCGGUGGAGAACAAUCCCAACGAAGCUUCACAUCCCUUCGCCAUCUCCAUAUUGUUAACUGCAAAGCAUUGGACUAUUUGCCAUGUGAAAUGAUAGGAUUCUCUCUUGAGGAGAUGUCGUUGGAGGGUCUAAGUAGCCUAAAGAAUCUACCAAAGGUAUUUGACAGCCUCUCAGAAUCGCCUCGUCUGAAAAAUUUAUCAAUAGUUGGCGUUCCUAAAUUUAUGGCCAAUUGUUAUGUUGAGACUCCACAUUUUCCCUAUUUGAGAGACGUAAAAAUGGGUGUCAGUAUGAGCUCGAUGGAGGCUGUAGAUGGCAUAUUACAAGAAUGCUGCCACUCACUAAAUAAGUUAACUCUGGUGGGGAUGGAAAGUUGGGAAUGCCUGCCGGAAUCAAUUCAACUUCUCACUGCUCUUUCUAAGUUACGGUUAUAUAAUUUUGGAAUGGAAGAGUUAGCUGAAUGGUUUGGGAACCUCUCAUCUCUAAAGGAGUU
rnacentral:lncRNA from 1 species